AAAAAAAAACGUCUCUUCCUUCUUUACUUGGUUUUGACCAGAAACGGGAAGAACAUCGCAAUUUUGCAGAUUUGAAAGAGGGUUUCAAAGUAUUACUGACUCGACAAUUGAUUUAUCUCAAGGGAGAUAAUCAAUUAUCUACUGUCGUAGGAUUUAUGUAGGAAUUACUCGAAACUCUCAAAUUGAAGUUUACCUUGUCGAAGAACUCCGACAUCUCAAAAGGCCAUACUCUAUCUCAGGCCUUCAUUUUCCAUUUGCUUGUUCGUUGCUAACUGAUAACGCCCUUAAAAUCUCCCCAACUUUGAGAAAAGCGGUUGGCGAAUCUCCACUUUUUGUACACCUAGAUGACUCACCACUGUUAGUAGCGACAUAAGAGCGGAUGAUCGUAAACCUCAUGUCUCAAAGAAGGUAAUAUUGUUCCUUUUUAUCGUUCAUUUUGGUCUGAACGGGACGCAUUAGCAUCAAAGGAAUAGCACUAUCAAAACUGUCAGCGCUACUGCGAAACCCACUUCAUCUAGCUAUAAAGUACCUACUUUUACUUAUUAUAGUUUCGAUUAUAUUAGUUUAGUGUGUUGUAACUGAAAUUUUAAAACCUUCGCUACCUUUAAACAACUGUAAACCGAUGGAAUGCAUACUAGAGGGUAGAUAAUUCAUCAGUUGAAUUAGACAACUAGGAAAUCAUUGUGGCAAAAUCCUUUCUUUUGAUAUCAUUUAUUUUUCCUUGUGAAUAAAUCAAAUUUUGUAGAUCGGUCACGGAAGUUAGAACUGACAAUCUUCGUUACAAUUUUUCUUUACCUUCUAUUAUUGUUAAAAAAAAACAAACUGUCUUUCUUUAUAUUUGCCGACGCUCUUCUUUCCCAUAACUUGCAUGAAUAAAAGAUUCUAAAAUUAAUUUA